rnacentral:rRNA from 1 species
UUGUUUGGAGAGUUUGAUUCUGGCUCAGGACGAACGCUGGCGGCGUGCUUAACACAUGCAAGUCGAACGGAAAGGCACUUCGGGGUACUCGAGUGGCGAACGGGUGAGUAACACGUGGGUGAUCUGCCCUGCACUUUGGGAUAAGCCUGGGAAACUGGGUCUAAUACCGAAUAGGACUACGCGAUGCAUGUCGUGUGGUGGAAA